AGUGAACGCUGGCGGUAGGCCUAACACAUGCAAGUCGAACGGCAGCACAGUAAGAGCUUGCUCUUACGGGUGGCGAGUGGCGGACGGGUGAGGAAUACAUCGGAAUCUACUUUUUCGUGGGGGCUAACGUAGGGAAACUUACGCUAAUACCGCAUACGACCUACGGGUGAAAGCAGGGGAUCUUCGGACCUUGCGCGAUCGAAUGAGCCGAUGUCGGAUUAGCUGGUUGGCGGGGUAAAGGCCCACCAAGGCGCCGAUCCGUAGCUGGUCUGAGAGGAUGAUCAGCCACACUGGAACUGAGACACGGUCCAGACUCCUACGGGAGGCAGCAGUGGGGAAUAUUGGACAAUGGGCGCAAGCCUGAUCCAGCCAUACCGCGUGGGUGAAGAAGGCCUUCGGGUUGUAAAGCCCUUUUGUUGGGAAAGAAAAGCAGCAGGUUAAUACCCCGCUGUUCUGACGGUACCCAAAGAAUAAGCACCGGCUAACUUCGUG
rnacentral:rRNA from 1 species